UACGGAGGGUGCUAGCGUUGUUCGGAAUUACUGGGCGUAAAGCGCACGUAGGCGGCGAUUUAAGUCAGAGGUGAAAGCCCGGGGCUCAACCCCGGAAUUGCCUUUGAGACUGGAUUGCUUGAAUCCGGGAGAGGUGAGUGGAAUUCCGAGUGUAGAGGUGAAAUUCGUAGAUAUUCGGAAGAACACCAGUGGCGAAGGCGGCUCACUGGACCGGCAUUGACGCUGAGGUGCGAAAGCGUGGGGAGCAAACAGG
rnacentral:rRNA from 1 species